UACGGGGGGGCAAGCGUUGUUCGGAAUUACUGGGCGUAAAGGGCUCGUAGGCGGUUUGUCACGUCGGGAGUGAAAACUUGGGGCUCAACCCCGAGCCUGCUUCCGAUACGGGCAGACUAGAGGUAUGCAGGGGAGAAUGGAAUUCCUGGUGUAGCGGUGAAAUGCGCAGAUAUCAGGAGGAACACCGGUGGCAAAGGCGGUUCUCUGGGCAUUACCUGACGCUGAGGAGCGAAAGUGUGGGGAGCGAACAGG
rnacentral:rRNA from 1 species